AAGGUACAGCUCGUGUCGAAGACGACGCUUUCUUGCUUUCUUUGACUCUGGUAUUGAGGCUGAAGGUGUCCGAUCCGAUUCGAGGUCCGGAACACGAGCCCCUGGAACUGACAUGCACCAGAGCGCGGCUGCAGCCUUGCCGGUUGCUACGCAGAUCGCUCGCUACGCUCGAGUGUCCGAGUGGUACUGCGCGCUUCGGGUCAGGUAGCUGCUGGGUGCACCCAGAUAACGCGCAAAACGGGAUCGCUGCACGACAAGCAAAACCGGUUGCUUCCCAGGAACGCUGAACGACUCGGCAAACGAGUCUGGCGUUGGAGGCAGAGCGCGUUGCUCCCGACGAUAUCGUCGUUCGGUUCGUGCUUCGUGCGCCUGGUUCGAGUUCAAAGCAACACGAGUACCCGAUGAUACAAGCAAAGAGACGGAAGGUUCAGUCUUUCAUCAAACGCAGUUUACCUACAGUCCUGAUGAUUGCGUGUUCGCUUACACCGAAACGUAUCCUGAACCAGGGAAAAUGUCUGCUGGCUGGAGUGCUCGACCUCGGGGCGGCCUCUACCAGCAUGCGUCACACGUUGCCGCCCGUGUAUUCCUGCAACCUAAAUAAGGACGAUGACGUAGAUGGUGAUACUUGCGAACCACUCUUAAAAGGCAAGUGAAUCACAGAGGCUUCGUAGAUACCAAGAGCAGUUCGGGCUCUUUCGAGGAAACCGCCGAACGCUACCUGUGCAACAUUUUGUAUGCUACCGGAAACACCGGGGCGACUCGCUUGUCAGCUAUGCAGCCUUUCCGCAGGAAAACGGGUACCGUGGGCCAGCCCUUCGUAGCGUGCGCACCACUUGGACGAUUAUGGUGUUGAUUCCGAAUGUCCGUGUCAGUCGGGUCGCUGUGGUUUCUCGAAUGCUGCAUCUUGCGUCUUGCACGUAUCAGAAAACUAUCCCAGGCGACUUGCCCCAAACAACCAUAGAUUCGUCUUUACCGAGAAAUAUCCCCGGCAUCGGCUGAGCCAGCGAGAGUUCUUGUGAAAGCAACGAGCACUGCUAAUCGUCUUGAGCAACAUGAACCGGUGUUGCAGUUCCAGACAACAUGGUUUGCCCGAACAGAUGCUUCGCAAACAGGUUUCCUCUGAAUUCGAGAUUCUCCGUCUAUGCACCAUUGUAGCCGAUGCUUGAUUAUAACCUUGCAGCUUCGUUGCAUGCCAUGCACUCUGCUCUCUGUGAUUCGUGUUUAUGUACGUACCUUGUCGGUGCUUGAUUCUAAGCUUGCAUCUCCGUCGCAAGCAAGUUCCUUUUGCAUUCUACGAUUCCUGUUUAUGCACUAUUGCAGCCGGUGCGCGGUGAUGCGCUCUGCACCCUUGUCGGAAUGCACUGGGGCAGGUUCCCGAACACUGGUGUACUCGUUGAAAAUUGGGUCUCUUCCACUAUCGAUAACAGCAGCUGCUGCACGCUUUUUCUGUGACUGCAUCCUUUUCGACACCCUGAUCCUCAUUAGACCGGUCUCUGCUCACUCUCGCAGUCCUUUGACAAAAGUCGCCGGACGUUGUUGGCAGUGUUUGCGUCCCGAUUUCAAUGUGUUCGGCUAUUGUCGACAUAAUCCACAUACAGGCGAACGUUGCAAGCUACGCCUCGCUUGUCAUUUUCAUCUUCGAUGCGUAGAGCAUCGGUGCACAGGGCGCAGCGAUGAUUCCUAACGACGAUCAACUGCUCCCGUUCACCCAUCACAAAUUCCUCUUCCCGUUCCAUGUCUUCUGGAGCAUGAACGCUUGUUUCUUCGCUCGGCGCAUGCCGCUGACGCCUACGCAGGGUGCACCUCCGACGCCCAUACCUUCGUUUCCGCGCCCGGCGCCGUACCCUACGAUUCCAGGCCUCGUCUGGGCAAUCCCUCGGGCGGGGACGCUGUCCGCUAGAUGCACAGGCGCACGCUUCUCCACUCGAUACGUAAUUCGUGGAACGGGGUGUUGUCUGUGGAGAAACACGUGCCACAAGGCGAAUCGACGCCGGGGAACAAGGCGCGGAAUUGCGAUCUGUCUACGCUCGCCUCGUGCAAGGCGCAGUCGCACGCUGAAACGGAAGCGAUCACUGUGAUGACUCAACUGCGAAUCAAUGAUCAGUCUGAUGAAGUUGCUGUGGAAUUCUGCUUUGCGAGAUGCGUUGACUAGAAGGCGAUUUGUCUUUUGAACGGAAUCGAUAAUGUGCUGGGAAAAUCCCAAUCAACUUUCGGAUUGAGCUUAUGAACAGGCCAUCAAACGACGACGACGUGUUCUUUGACGCACCCGCCUGUCCAGUAGUGCGACUUGUUGCGCACACGACUUGCCGUGAUAGAUUGAAACGUUGAAGCAUGCGUGAAUCGCGCACGCUACUCCUAAAGCAAGCAGCAGAC